AGCGGCCGCCGCCGGUCGGGCCCGGCCGAGGCGCGCCCCGCUCGGAGCGCCGGGAGCGCGCGGCAGACGGGGCCCGGUCUGUUCCGGGCCGGUUUAGGAGGGCCGUGAUUUCUCUUUGCUGCCCCGCGCUCCGGGAGGUGUCACCGCCGGGCCCGGGACCCUCCCGCCCCCCCCCGCGCCGGAGCCCCCGUGCUUCCCCCCGUCGCGGGCGGGUGGAUUUCGCUAGCGGGGAAUUAGGAGGGAAACGGGGGAUUAAAGGGCCUGAGCUGGUUACACACACGGCAGCUGGAUGCGCACCUUCCGCGGCUGCCCGGGGAACGGGGGGUGACGGACGCCGACCCCGAAGCCCGCAGCAUCAUCAUGCUCCCCUUUUUAUGCCUCUUUUCCUCGUCCUUGGGAGGAAAAAUAAAGACGUGGAGAAAGGAGAAACUGGAACAUAAAAAAGGAAGCGAAGGCAGGAAAACCCUCACCGCGGCGCGGGGCUCCGGCCUGGGGCGGAUGGGCCCGGUGCGGGGCCUGCCGAGCCCGUAGAGCAUCACCCCGUGCCGAGGCACCCCUCGGUGCUUCUGCGGGUGUUUAAAAGCCGCGGGCCCUGUGUCCGUCCGCCGCCCGCCCAGGUCUCCCCGGAACCGGCCAUCCCCGCCCUGUCGGGGCCGCGCAGGGCGCUCCGCGUCCCCGCCCAGCUGUUGCUUUGCUUUGCCGGCGGUUGCGGGAUCAAUGGAGGCCCGGGCGGGCUCCCCCCGGCCGGUGCCCGCAGCUGGGCAGCUCCCAGGCGGAGCGGGCCCCGUUCCGCCGCCCGGGAAGGCGACAGCUGCGGGCUGGCGUCAGGGGACCCUUCCCUUUGACCGCGGCCCCCUGUGACAUGUGGCGGUGGGGAUGAAUGAGGGGAGGGAGAUGAGCAGCUUAUGUCCAUCAAGCACCAGGGUUUCACAGCGAUUUUGUUGUGUGUUUUUUUUCUCCUUUCCCAGGCGUUAGCGAAAGCAGCUGGUUGUCCCCUGCCCCUCCCGUCCCGACGGCUCCGCGCAGGGCCUGGGGACGCCGAGGCAGGCACACAUCACUAUGCCCCUAUCCACAUCCCGAUCCCAUCCGGUCCCCCGGGGUGCGGAGGGCGAGCGGUACCCGGCACCCGCAGUGCCGCGACAGUGACUUACCGGCGGGUCUCCCUUCCACCCCAGUACACGCACAUCCCCGUUGCCGUGGGGUGUAAAAGGGCCAAACACCCCCUAGGGAAGGGGAACCAUGGGUUAGAGCGGGUAUUUGAGCGGUGAAAAUACCGGCGCUGUUUCCAGUGGGAUCCGAGAAAGCAAAACCCCACCGAGCUCGGUCCCCAGCGGGACACGGCGGGGGGCACCCACGGGGCAUGAGGGAACGGGAGAAAUCCCUGCAAGCCACGGGGAUGGGCGGCACGGCAGCGCCCGGCCGGGCACAGCGCAUGGGGUGGGGAUUUGAUUUCAUUUCACUUUGGUUUUUCAUUGUAUUCCGCAGUUCCCCCAGGCCCGGUCCCGGCCGGACCCAAGUCCUUGGUGAUGAUGGGGUGGCGGGGCCGAGCCUAUCCAUACCCGGGGAAGAACUGUGCGGGCUGUUCAGAGCCGAGCGGCCCGGGAGCCGAGAAAGAGGGAAAUUAAAAGAGGAAAAUAAUGUUAAUAAAACUCCCUCGAAUUUAUUUUACAUCUGAUACAUAAGGGGGAAAAAAGGCCCCUUUUAGGCGCGUUUGAAUUUGCAUUUUAUAGGUGUCGUUCCCGUCUUUUUAGUUAAACAUCACUCCGGUUAUCAGCAGCCUUUCUACACCGCUGCGCCCGGUAAUGGGAUUUCUCUCUCCUUUACGGGGCACUAGUGCUGUACAAACACCGGAGCCGCUCGCCCGGCCACCGGCAGAGCCCCGCGGCGAAGCCGAGGAAGAAACGUCCCUCCCGCUCGGGCACGGACGCGCUCUCCGUGUCCAUCCCAGUUCUUUCCCUCCUUCCCGGACUCCUGCGCAUCCCGGGGGAACGCUGCUCCCGCAUCUAUCGGGGAGCACCGCGGCGGGUCGGAGCACCCAAGGCAGCGCUGCGGGGGGACAGCGCGGGUGAAGCGGGAGUAUCAACCCCCGGUCACCCCUUCUCCCCUUCCCGAACUUUUCCCCGUAGGAAAAGCACCUCCGCCUAUUAAACAUCUUCGCGGCCGCUGCCCUAACCAAACACUGAAGAUGUAAUUAAACCCGGUAAAACAACCCCGCGCGAUAACCCCGUUGCUGGACAGGAUCCAUCGCCGCGCCAGGUUUGGUUUAGAGGAGCUUGGACUCCCCAGAAAAUUCCUUAAAAUACCUAUCGGAGGGUCCCGCUUGGUUCUGCUGCGCUCGGGGCGAUGCCGGGGCGGGGAAGUCGGCACCGGCUCCGCUCGCCUUUCCCUGGCCUUAUUUAUUCUGCUGCCCCCUUGAUUAGCUUCCCCCCCCUUGCCCCCCGCCCGGGUUUCUUUCCAUGUCGCUAAAUGUUGUCGCUUACACUCGAAGCUCAUGCAUUGUUUAUGGGAAAUAGAGUUAAUAAAUUAUUCCAAAUCCGA